rnacentral:ncRNA from 1 species
UCGGUGUUGCCACGCUGAGACGCCCCGUGGAAGGGAUCAGCGUGGUGAUGGUGGCGAUACCCGCCCUUGCCGGGGCGGUACAUGCCGUGAAGCGUUCGGCGUCCGGGAGUUGCACCUCUCGGGCGCCGUCG